rnacentral:tRNA from 1 species
UUAAAUAGUUUAAUUAAAAUAUUGAUUUGUGGGAUCAGAGUUAAAUAUAAAAUUUUUUAAAUAAUUUUUCGU